UAGACUAAGGAGCAGCUGCUAGGUACAGCCAACCGAACAACAUCGACUCUCUGUUUUCUUGUAUUUUGUGGCAUAAAAGAAGAAGCAAACCCUACCUUAUACCCGUGUUCUGUGUGUGCGUGUGUGAUAGUGGUGGUAGCUAGCAUCUUCUCUCUCUCUCUCUGCUCCAACCUCUGAAUUUCAAAAUGGUGAAAGCAAGUGAGAGCGGUGCAGUUCCUGAGCCGGUUAUGGAUGCAGCUAACGCCACUCUCUCCAACCUUCAACUACUCCGAACGCAUUUUAACGACUUUUUGUCGCUCUCCGAACCUCAAACCCUCUCCCAAAUGCCCCCUCUUCAACGCGCUCACGUUCUCUUCAUCCUCGCUAAAAUCACCUCUACCCUUCUCGAAUUGAAUUUGAGAUGUAGUGGGGUCCACCCAGAUGACCAUCCCAUCAAAUCAGAGCUCGACAGAAUGAACUUGUACGAGGACAAACUGGAACGUAUGGUUGAUUUGAGUAAAGCUCCACUGCGACCUUCCACUACCUUGAAUUAUCAGGCGGCUACACGCUUCAUAGAACACUCGCUGCCUGACCUAACUUCUGAGCAGAGGGAAAAUAUGAGGAACAUAAGUAGAGGGGAGAGAACAAAGACAAACCUUCCUGGUCGGGCAGGUCAAAAGAGGAAGUAUCAGUCUUCUGAAAAACAAUCUGUUAAAGCAGCUGCCAAGGAUUUUUUGGAGAAAGCUGCCCGGGAGCUUCUUGGUGAUACCAGUGGUGGUAUUAAGGGACCGCUACAAGUUGACAUGUCAGAGGAUGAUGACGACAAACAGCCCUUAUCUUGAUUUUCCAGAAAUUUGAACAGGUUGGAUCCACUCUGCUCUAUCUUUUGGGCACAUCUCCGACUUUAUCUACCACCAUGAGAGAUAUUGAACAUGUCAACAUGUUCAACACUUUCUAAACAUCACUUAUUGUAUGCCUUCGAUGUGUCCGACACCCCUAGUCAAGCUUGAGCAAAGAAGUGUGCGUGAACAAGUGGAGCUGUGUCCGUAGGCGUUUUUGCUUUUCCUAUCUUCUUAGCGACAGAAUCUUGUUAAAUUAAUGUAUCAUCAACAUUUCAGUUUUGGUUAGCUUCGAUUAAUGUCAGUUUUUAUCGGACAUUUUGUCUGUUGGAUUAGCAGAUCAACAAUGUACAUGUCUCAAUUUUUGAUAGGCUACUCACUGUCUGAGCUUUUCCACUUGCUUGGGUUCCAAAUUUAAGGAACCAGUUUUUAUCGGAGCUGAUGAUUAUAAUUGAUGAUAUA